rnacentral:snRNA from 1 species
GUGUUUGCUUUGGCAGCACAUAUACUAAAAUUGUAACGAUACAGAAAAGAUUAGCAUGGCUCUUGUGCAAGGAUGACACGCAGAUUUGUGAAGCGUUCCAUAAUUUA